rnacentral:lncRNA from 1 species
AGUGGUCUAGUUUCUGUUUGCGUUCCAGCUGGGGACUCUUCUGAUGGGAACCACCUGUUCCUGGUCUUUGCGCGCUUUGGAUUUCCCCAGUCCUUCAGUCCUUUCAGUUUUGAAAUGAAACCUGCUCUCCUGGCUAAGGUGGAAACAUGGUCUGGUAACACCACGCUUCCGGAUGUGAUUGUGGAGCUGGAUUGCUUAACCUGGGCUAAGUCAUUUAUCUUCCUGUGUCCCUCAGUUCUUCAUGGGCUGCAGAAGUGUUAAGAGUGCCUGCUUGUCUUCGAGAGGACCAGAGAUCAAUUCCCAGCAUCCAUCCCUGGAAGCUACAGGGAAUUCAACACUCUUCCUGACUUCCUCAAACACCUGCACACAUAUGGCUUAUAGACACACAGGGAAAGAAGUAAAGGAAAUCUUAAAAACA